AGGAUCAUUCGCAAUGGGCGAAAGCCUGACGAUGCGACGCUGCGUGGAGGAUGAAGGCCUUCGGGUUGUAAACUCCUGUCAUGGGGGAACAGGCGAGGGGAGCGAACACCUCCCUUAGUUGAGUGUACCCCAAGAGGAAUUGGCGGCUAACUCUGUGCCAGCAGCCGCGGUAAUACAGAGGCCAAGAGCGUUGUUCGGAUUUACUGGGCGUAAAGGGCGCGUAGGCGGCGCGGCGUGUCAAGUGUGAAAUCUCCGCGCCCAACCCGGAAAGUGCGCUUGAAACUACCGCGCUCGAGUGCGGAAGGGGGAAUCGGAAUAUAGGGUGUAGCGGUGAAAUGCGUUGAUAUCCUAUAGAACACCGGAGGCGAAGGCGGAUUCCUUGUACGCAACUGACGCUGAGGCGCGAAAGCCGGGGGAGCAAACA
rnacentral:rRNA from 1 species